UACCCUUGACAUGUCUGGAAUCCUGAAGAGAUUUAGGAGUGCUCGCAAGAGAACCGGAACACAGGUGCUGCAUGGCUGUCGUCAGCUCGUGUCGUGAGAUGUUGGGUUAAGUCCCGCAACGAGCGCAACCCUUGUCAUUAGUUGCUACAUUUAGUUGAGCACUCUAAUGAGACUGCCGGUGACAAACCGGAGGAAGGUGGGGAUGACGUCAAGUCCUCAUGGCCCUUAUGGGUAGGGCUUCACACGUCAUACAAUGGUCGGGACAGAGGGUUGCCAAGCCGCAAGGUGGAGCUAAUCUCAUAAACCCGAUCGUAGUCCGGAUUGCAGGCUGCAACUCGCCUGCAUGAAGUCGGAAUCGCUAGUAAUCGCGGAUCAGCAUGUCGCGGUGAAUACGUUCCCGGGUC
rnacentral:rRNA from 1 species